GACAGAGGCCUCGAGCGUUAGGCGGAAUCACUGGGCUUAAAGCGUGUGUAGGCGGACCCCUAAGUACCUUGUGAAAUCCCACGGCUCACCCGUGGAACCGCUGGGUAUACUGGGGGUCUUGGGCCACUCAGGGGCGACUGGAACAAGCGGUGGAGCGGUGAAAUGCGUAGAUAUCGCUUGGAACGCCGAAGGUGAAAACAGGUCGCUGGGAGUGCGCCGACGCUGAGACACGAAAGCCAGGGGAGCAAACGGG
rnacentral:rRNA from 1 species